GAAGAACGUAAGGGAAGAAGAGAUAUUAUUGGCUGUUGGAACUGUGAAGUCUUCCUAAAGUCUUUCUUUUCUUCAGUAUUCAUAUCGUUGUCUCCACUUUACUCUCUUCCUUCUCAGAUACACGCAGGCAGGCUCACCGAUUUACUGCUAAAAUCUUGAAAAUCCAUUUUUAAGUCUUAAUAGGAUCAUAGAAUUACUCCUCAUUUGUGCUGUUCAAGUUGCUGAUUUCUUCAUUCUCAGCUCAAUCCUACCUGGGAUAGACAUCGGAAAAUUCUCAGGUAUGCCCACGCCCUUCUGGUAAACACGGACGAUCGCACCGUUGCAUAUAAAGGCCUAUUCGUGUGGGCAAAUGUAUAAGUGUAUGUGUAUGCUACAUUUCCCAGUUACUGAUUUACAAGUUUUGGAGUGUGAUCAAUUUCCCCCACUAUUUUUUCGGGUGAUUUUCGUUCUUCCCUGCGUAGGCCGAUCUAAUACUGAGAUUUUUAGAUUCAAAUUUAUUAAUAUUCCCAGUUACUUAUUGACAAAUUUUGGAGUGUGGCCAAUUUCCUCACUCCUUUUCGACUAAUUUUUGUUCUUCAUUUUUCGUUGUGUAGGCUGUGCUGAUACUAGGAUUUAGCUAAGUGGUGGAGAAAAGAUGGGGUUUCUUAAUAUAUUACAGUGUAUUCUUUGCUCUGAGGAAGAGGAUAAGCUUGAGAUUGAAAGGAAUCGGUAUGGAUAUUUUGAAAUUGCUGGCCGGGAUAGUGAUUUUGUUUCUUACAUUUGUUCUAAACUCCAGUGGAUUAGAUUCCGACCAACCAACACCACCACCACCAAUGCAGCAAGAUUUCACUAUGAAAAUAAUCAUCGUUCGUCGAAUGCUUCAUCCAUUCAGUCCCAAGAGACCAUUUUCCAAAGUUCUAUUCGAGUUAAGUCACCUGGAAUUGUUGAUUACAAUUAUAGGUCGAUAGAGUCUGGAAAGAAUAAUACUGAUCAUUCGAAUGUAAUUAAGAGAGAUCAUAAUCCCGAGAGAAAGGUAAACAAGCCCUAUGAAUUUCGUCGUGAUCAGAAUUUGAAAGAUUCUUCCUUAUCCUCGUCAUCAUCAUUCGUGAAAACAGUUCAAACUCUACCUUUCGAUCCUCUGAAGCCGAUUGAAGGGGUUCAAAAGGGAAAAGGAUUAGCCCAGAAAGUAAAUUCAGCUUCUUCGCACGAAUCUCAGUGUUCCUUUAAAUUCCCCAUCACAUUGCAUUCGUCCAGUUCAACCUUAUCAUCAUCUUCUUUGUUAGAAAACUUAAAAGGUUCGGCUCCAGUCACUUCAUCAUCCAUGAAACCAGUUUCAACACGACCUUGGGAACCGCAGAAAUCAAUCGAUGGCUGUCAGAAGGGAAAGGGAUUACCCGAGAAUGUAUCUUCAGCCACUUUUCGAGAAUCUCAGUCUUCUUUUAAAUCACCUGUUGCAUUGCAUUUGGCUAAUUCGUCAUCGGCAUCGUCGUUGUUAGAGAGAUCUCCUUCACCAAAACCACGUCCACUAUCCACAAAACCAACCUUGUUGCCGACCUCGGCUCUGACGUAUCAGCAGGGAACAACUAAUUAUAUAUUGGUUGAGGGUUCAUCUACCUAUGCUUUUUCGGAGGACAUCAAAAGUUUGAUUGAAAAAGAAAUUGUUCCGGGAGUGCUCAAGAAGCCUUUGUCUAUGUCGACGUACAAAAAUUACUUCCAUGCUCUACUUUAUGCCGAGGAUUGUUACCUUGAGGUGAUUAUUCACUUGUCAUAUAGCUUCAAUUGCCAUGUUAUGUUAUUGUUUAUAAUUGUUAUAAUGUAGCAGGAUCAAAUCUUUUAUGUGUCUCAAACUUCAAAGAUAAAGUACAUUGUUAUGCUACGAAAAUGCUAGUAUACAAAUUCAGGGAAAAAGGGAAGUGCAAGAGAAAUAAAGAGCUUCGUGACGGUCCAAAUAUGUUCUGCUUUGCAAAGUAUAGCCUCCUGAGG
rnacentral:lncRNA from 1 species